AGAAUCUUGGAUGCGUUAGUGUUGUAGCACAUCUCCUCCUCUCUAGGGUCAUCUCAACCUGCUCCCUACUCCCACUAGAGAUCACAAUGUCAUCUCGAAACAUCAUAGUCCAUAGAGACUCCUGUCUGAUCUCACCUGUCAAUCUGUCCAUCAG